ACACUCCUACGGGAGGCAGCAGUGGGGAAUAUCGCACAAUGGGCGCAAGCCUGAUGCAGCCAUGCCGCGUGUAUGAAGAAGGCCUUCGGGUUGUAAAGUACUUUCAGCGGGGAGGAAGGCGAUAAGGUUAAUAACCUUGUCGAUUGACGUUACCCGCAGAAGAAGCACCGGCUAACUCCGUGCCAGCAGCCGCGGUAAUACGGAGGGUGCAAGCGUUAAUCGGAAUUACUGGGCGUAAAGCGCACGCAGGCGGUCUGUCAAGUCGGAUGUGAAAUCCCCGGGCUCAACCUGGGAACUGCAUUCGAAACUGGCAGGCUAGAGUCUUGUAGAGGGGGGUAGAAUUCCAGGUGUAGCGGUGAAAUGCGUAGAGAUCUGGAGGAAUACCGGUGGCGAAGGCGGCCCCCUGGACAAAGACUGACGCUCAGGUGCGAAAGCGUGGGGAGCAAACAGGAUUAGAAACCCUAGUAGUCCCAUG
rnacentral:rRNA from 1 species